GACGAACGCUGGCGGCGUGCCUAAUCCAUGCAAGUCGAGCGGGCCUCCGUAGGUGCUUGCCCGUCCGGACGGCCAGCGGCGGACGGGUGAGGCACACGUGGGAAACCUGCCUUUGAGGCCGGGAUAACACUGGGAAACCCGUGCUACUACCGGAUACGUCCUCUGCCGCGCCUGUGAGAGGGGCGAAGGACGGUCGUUAACGCCGUGGCUGAACGAGGGGCCGGCGGCGCAUUAGCUGGUUGGUGGGGCAAGGGCCUACCAAGGCGACGAUGCGUUGCCGACCUGAGAGGGUGAUCGGCCACACUGGGACUGAGACACGGCCCAGACUCCUGCGGGAGGCAGCAGUAGGGAAUCAUCCGCAAUGGGCGAAAGCCUGACGGUGCAACGCCGCGUGAGUGAGGAAGGUUUUCGGAUCGUAAAGCUCUGUUGUGAGGGAAGAACAGCAUCCGGAGGAAAUGCCGGAGGUUUGCCGGUACCACACCAGAAAGCCCCGGCUAACUACGUGCCAGCCGCCGCAGUAAAAC
rnacentral:rRNA from 1 species